UUCCAAUGAUGUUUAUAACUUUAUAUUUUGGGAUAGUAAUAUGAAAGUAACCACUGAUCAAUGCAGAUCAGUGAAUGUAACCACAUAUUUGAUCUCAUAUCACACAUCUUACGUCUAUUUCCAAACUACAACUACCAGCGAACGCGGCCGCAAGGAUCAAUUCCUGUUUUUAAAGAUAAAUCAUUCCAAGUGAGAAGCACUGAGCUUUAGUGGUAUGGAUAGAUAGGGAUAUUUGCACAUGCGAAAAUUUCGAAGUAUUGAAAUAAAAUAUGGUGCGCGUGAAGGAGUGAUAUAACAUUUAAAGUAGAAAUCGAUAAAUACAGCAGCUGUUCUAAACAUUCCAAGGCCACGGUCCUUUGUGACAAUUGAAAUGUUUUGCCAGGCAAAUGAUGAUUGUCUAAAUGUUGAAGAUGCAAGCUUGGUAUAUGUCAGAGACAGACACGGAGUACUCACCUCACCCCCAGGAUAUGAAAAAUCUCAGACAAGACAUGUUUUGAGAGAAUGUGUUACAGUUUAUGGU